rnacentral:rRNA from 1 species
GACGAACGCUGGCGGCGUGCUUAACACAUGCAAGUCGAACGGUAAGGCCCUUCGGGGUACACGAGUGGCGAACGGGUGAGUAACACGUGGGUGAUCUGCCCUGCACUUCGGGAUAAGCCUGGGAAACUGGGUCUAAUACCGGAUAGGACCCUGGGAUGCAUGUCCUGGGGGGGAAAGCUUCUGCGGUGUGGGAUGGGCCCGCGGCCUAUCAGCUUGUUGGUGGGGUGAUGGCCUACCAAGGCGACGACGGGUAGCCGGCCUGAGAGGGUGACCGGCCACACUGGGACUGAGAUACGGCCCAGACUCCUACGGGAGGCAGCAGUGGGGAAUAUUGCACAAUGGGCGCAAGCCUGAUGCAGCGACGCCGCGUGAGGGAUGACGGCCUUCGGGUUGUAAACCUCUUUCAGCACCGACGAAGCGCAAGUGACGGUAGGUGCAGAAGAAGGACCGGCCAACUACGUGCCAGCAGCAGCCGCCG